GACGAACGCUGGCGGCGUGCUUAACACAUGCAAGUCGAACGGGCCUUGUCCCCUUUUUUUUGGGGGUGGGGUUAGUGGCGAACGGGUGAGUAACACGUGAGUAACCUGCCCCUCACUUCUGGAUAACCGCUUGAAAGGGUGGCUAAUACGGGGUGUUCUGGCCUGCUCGCAUGGGUGGGUUUGGAAAGAUUCGACCGGUUUUGGUUGUUUUGGUGGGGGAUGGGCUCGCGGCCUAUCAGCUUGUUGGUGGGGUGAUGGCCUGCCAAGGCUUUGACGGGUAGCCGGCCUGAGAGGGUGGGCGGUCACACUGGGACUGAGACACGGCCCAGACUCCUACGGGAGGCAGCAGUGGGGAAUAUUGCACAAUGGGCGCAAGCCUGAUGCAGCGACGCCGCGUGAGGGAUGGAGGCCUUCGGGUUGGGAACCUCUUUCGCCAGUGAAGAAGGUCCUGCUCUUUGUGGUGGGGUUGACGGUAGCUGGGUUAAUGAAGCGCCGGCUAACUACGUG
rnacentral:rRNA from 1 species